rnacentral:rRNA from 1 species
AUUGAACGCUGGCGGCAGGCCUAACACAUGCAAGUCGAGCGAGCGGCGGACGGGUGAGUAAUGUAUGGGCAUCUGCCUGAUGGAGGGGGAUAACUACUGGAAACGGUGGCUAAUACCGCAUACUAUCGGAUGUGCCCAGAUGGGAUUAGCUAGUGGGUGGGGUAAAGGCUCACCAAGGCGACGAUCUCUAGCUGGUCUGAGAGGAUGAUCAGCCACACUGGGACUGAGACACGGCCCAGACUCCUACGGGAGGCAGCAGUGGGGAAUAUUGGACAAUGGGCGAAAGCCUGAUGCAGCCAUGCCGCGUGUGUGAAGAAGGCCUUAGGGUUGUAAAGUACUUUCAGCGGGGAGGCGUUACCCGCAGAAGAAGCACCGGCUAACUCCGUGCCAGCAGCCGCGGUAAUAC